GGUAACGCGUGGGUAACCUGCCUCAUACAGGGGGAUAACAGUUGGAAACGGCUGCUAAUACCGCAUAAGCGCACAGUACCGCAUGGUACAGUGGUAAAAACUCCGGUGGUAUGAGAUGGACCCGCGUCUGAUUAGGUAGUUGGUGGGGUAACGGCCUACCAAGCCGACGAUCAGUAGCCGACCUGAGAGGGUGACCGGCCACAUUGGGACUGAGACACGGCCCAG
rnacentral:rRNA from 1 species